UGGGCUUGACAUGCAGGGGAAAGUCCUGAGAAACCAGGACCCCUCUUCGGAGUCCCUGCACAGGUGCUGCAUGGCUGUCGUCAGCUCGUGUCGUGAGAUGUUGGGUUAAGUCCCGCAACGAGCGCAACCCCCGCUCCCAGUUGCUACCGGGUCAAGCCGAGGACUCUGGGAGGACUGCCGGUGCCAAACCGGAGGAAGGUGGGGAUGACGUGUCCUUGAUAGG
rnacentral:misc_RNA from 1 species